GGCGUGCUUAACACAUGCAAGUCGAACGGACUUUACAUGAAGCCUAGCGAUUGUAAAGUUAGUGGCGGACGGGUGAGUAACGCGUGAAUAACCUGCCUUAUACUUGGGGACAACAGUUGGAAACGACUGCUAAUACCGCAUAAGCGCACUAAAGCUGCAUGGCUCAGUGUGAAAAACUCCGGUGGUAUAAGAUGGAUUCGCGUCUGAUUAGCUAGUUGGUGGGGUAACGGCUCACCAAGGCGACGAUCAGUAGCCGGCCUGAGAGGGUGAACGGCCACAUUGGGACUGAGACACGGCCCAAACUCCUACGGGAGGCAGCAGUGGGGAAUAUUGCACAAUGGGGGAAACCCUGAUGCAGCGACGCCGCGUGAGUGAAGAAGUAUUUCGGUAUGUAAAGCUCUAUCAGCAGGGAAGAAAAUGACGGUACCUGACUAAGAAGCCCCGGCUAACUACGUGCCAGCAGCCGCGGUAAUACGUAGGGGGCAAGCGUUAUCCGGAUUUACUGGGUGUAAAGGGAGCGUAGACGGUUUUGCAAGUCUGAUGUGAAAGCCCGGGGCUCAACUCCGGAAUUGCAUUGGAAACUGUAGAACUAGAGUGCAGGAGAGGUAAGCGGAAUUCCUAGUGUAGCGGUGAAAUGCGUAGAUAUUAGGAGGAACACCAGUGGCGAAGGCGGCUUACUGGACUGGUACUGACACUGAGGCACGAAAGCGUGGGGAUCAAACAGGAUUAGAUACCCUGGUAGUCCACGCUGUAAACGAUGAUGACUAACCGUCGGCGAUACACAGUCGGUGGCCAAGCGAAAGCGAUAAGUCAUCCACCUGGGGAGUACGACCGCAAGGUUGAAACUCAAAGGAAUUGACGGGGGCCCGCACAAGCGGAGGAACAUGUGGUUUAAUUCGAUGAUACGCGAGGAACCUUACCCGGGCUCGAACGGCAGAUGCAUUGAGUAGAGAUAUUCAAGUCUUCGGACAUCUGUCGAGGUGCUGCAUGGUUGUCGUCAGCUCGUGCUGUGAAGUGUCGGCUUAAGUGCCAUAACGAGCGCAACCCUUGCCGUUAGUUGCCAUCAGGUUAAGCUGGGGACUCUAGCGGGACUGCCACCGCAAGGUGUGAGGAAGGGGGGGUUGACGUCAAAUCAGCACGGCCCUUACGUCCGGGGCGACACACGUGUUACAAUGGCGAGUACAGAGGGAAGCUACCUGGCGACAGGAUGCAGAUCUCGAAAGCUCGUCCCAGUUCGGAUUGGAGUCUGCAACCCGACUCCAUGAAGUUGGAUUCGCUAGUAAUCGCGCAUCAGCCAUGGCGCGGUGAAUACGUUCCCGGG
rnacentral:rRNA from 1 species